AGAGUUUGAUCAUGGCUCAGGAUGAACGUUGGCGGCGUGCCUUACCAAUGCGAGUCGAACGGUACGGGGAGGCUCUUCGGAGCGCCCACGACCGUGGCGUCCGGGUGCGUAACACGUAGCUAACCUACCGGUCGGUGGGGGAAAACUCCGGGAAACCGGAGGUAAUCCCGCAUAUGGUCGCCUGGUAGACAGGUGGACGAAAGCUGUGGCAGGGGAACCUGUCAUGGCGCCGGCUGAGGGGGCUGCGGCCGAUUAGCUAGUUGGUGGGGUAAUGGCUCACCAAGGCAGUGAUCGGUAGCGGGUCUGAGAGGAUGAUCCGCCACACGGGGACUGAGAUAUGGUCCCGAGCCCUACGGGGUUUAGCAUGGAGGAAUCUUGCGCAAUGGGCGAAAGCCCGACGCAGCGACGCCGCGUGGGGGAUGAAGGCCUUCGGGUUGUAAACCCCUUUUCUGGGGGACGAAAUUGACGUACCCCA
rnacentral:rRNA from 1 species